CAGCCGGAGUAUUCACAUUCCCUAAACCCAUCCUGUGAUUUCCCACCCAUCUCUCAGACCAGUCCUCAUGUCACGCAGUGAAGUGGGUGCUACCAGUCCCUCCUCCAUCUAAGGGACUGACCAGACCCUGCUAUGGAUUAGAGCUGCUUGCUCCUGUCUGAUUUUCACCCCCCACUGUCCCUGUCAGGGUCCCUGUCCCUUUGCCCCUGUGUCUUCUGUAGUGCUGAGUGCAUAUGGAAAAUGUAUUUUGAAUGAAUGAACGUAAUUUCUAAAGUGCUCCCUACAGGGACUGCCAGGGCCCUCUAUGUCACCUAAGAGGGGGGAUGCCUCAUCUGGCUCCAGUCUCCUCCCGACCCUUUCUCAUGCUUAGGCCUGCAACUCUCAGUCCCUGGUGACUUGAGGGACUCUCCAGGUAUCCCAGGAGGUAUCCCCACCCCUACCUCAGAGAGAGCCACUUCCUUCCAAAGGAAGCGUUGAGCAAGCACUUUCCCUGAAUUAAAUGGGGUUUCAGUGAUGGACAUGCAAUAGAGUUGGAAUCUUUGAUUAUAGAACCUAUGGCCAAUUUCGGGAGUAGGUAAUUGGUCAUUAGUGAAAAACAUUUUCAACCAGUUGUGUUCUGAUUAAUGAAUUGAUGCCUCCCCCCCGUUCAUUGUUUUAUUUCCUUUAAUUUGCUAUUCUAUAGUUUUUAGGACAUGAAUUUGGUUGGCAGCGUAACAGCAAGGAUUCAGGAGGCCAACUGUGUUUGGGUUCGAAUCCUGGCUCUGUCUCGCACUUGCUGUGUGACCUUGUGCCAGUUACUUAACGUCCCUUGUUUAGUAUCCUCAUCUGUAAAAGGAGGAAACCAGUAUCACAUACCUCUUAGGGUUAACGAGAGGAGUAAACGAGUGAUAUUUGCAAAUGCGGAGCACAGUGCCUGGCACAGAGUCCAUUGCUAUUUUUAUUCUUGUUGUUAUUUAGUCUUACAAAUUGCAAUUUGUUUCAUCUGUGCAUGGUUUUAAUCUCUGGAAUUGUCGUACGCUCUGUUCUUUUAUAAAUCAGAGGCCCAGUAGUGUAUUAUCUUCAUUUUACACGCCUGCUUAAAAAGAAUCUAGCUGUCUGAUUCCCAAAGUUGCAAAUCAGACAGCGUGACUACUUUGUGGGCUUAAAAUAGCUGUCAGCCUUGUUGGGAAGGAAUAAAAAGGGGUUAACUAGCUUCUGGUGCAUGCCCCCAUCACAUUUGUUCCAGCCCUUUAAUCCUCGUUAGGAUUAAAAAUCACAGAAUCUUGUUAAGUACAGUAUGUUGUCUGUCUUCCCUGUCGUUCUCUGAAUUUCUUGGAUAAAUAUUUCUUUAAGCAGAGGUAAUCUAAGCAGCAGAAAUCUUCAUCAUGGGAUUAAUUAAUACCUUGCGAUGCUUACUUUCCCUUUUCAAUUUUUAUAUUCAGCAUCUGUUUCCUUUCAAGCACUGGAGCCGCUGGCUUUAAAAGUUACUUAAAAUGGUCCUUCCAGGAAGUUCGAGCCCAAAGUGUUGACACACUGUAGAAGCCUGCUCCUCUAGCUCCUGCGUGUGACCCGGUUGAUUUUCUGUAGCACUUUAACGAGACUUGUGAGUCUUAUACCCUUCUGGUCCAUCCAUGAGAAUGGACGGUGGCUAACCCGUUUAUUCUUGAAGCUACAGUGCUUUCCAGGAGAACUGUUGAAAUGAUCAACCUUGAGAGUUGAAUGAGACCUGGGACUCCCAACGUAGGGGUGGCAAGAAGAGGGCACUUGCCACCCGGUGCACCCUGAGCUGUAUUUGGAACAUUCUGAGCUCCGUUAGCCUGUGCGUGAGCACCUUAGAGAGAAAUGCUAUUUGCACGCUUGCAGAAUUAACAUGUGUCCCGUAUCUGUGCUGCUCUUCCUGCUCGUCCUGGGUGUGCAUUUCUUGUCCCUGAUCUAGGCUACAAGCUUCUCAAGGGCCAAGGGGACUCCCCACGUACCUGCCUCGUGCCAUCCACAUCACAGAAAGCUAACAGAAUAAUCGCUAUUAUUUAAAAAGCACUUACUAUGUUCCAGGCACUAUGCCAGGCUCUUUCUCUUGACGAUUAGUCCUCCCAACAGCCGUGUGAAUUAAGGUACUCUCACUAUCUUAGUUUACAGAUGGGGAAACCGAGGCAUAGUAACUGCUUACAGUCCACAUUUAGUAAGCGGUAGAUUCGCUGAGUCAAAGCCAGGCAUUUUGGCUUGGGACAUCUACUCUUAACCACUGUGCUGUGUGUCUUUCAAAACACCAGGAGCUAAUGUGUAUCAAGUGCCCCACCGCAGUCCAUGGUCUAUGCGUGGUGUUCAGCAUUUUACAUGUUACCUAAUUUAUCUUCACAGUGGCCCUGUGAGGGUAGGUGUUUUGUUCCCAUUUUGCUGAUGAGGAAAUUGAGGCACAUCUUCCUUGGUUGGAUUGAAUGGGCAAAUGGUCCAUUAAAGGGGGUGGUCUUAGCCCCUCCCGUCAAGGUUAUGCCUGUGACCAGAGCCUGGUCUGCUGCUGUGGGCCAAUGGGCAACAGGCCACCUGAGAAGACCCCUCUGGUGGGGCGUGUUGAUGAUCUCUAGAUAGGGGGAUGAGGCGAUAGUGAGUAAGUGGGAGAGCGGGAGGCCCGGCAGGAGAGGAGCUUGGGGAGGCCCUUCCUUCCUGGAGAAUGUUCUCUUUGGGCUCUCGCCUAUGCCCUUCCUGUCUAACGGUGGUGGGGCAUUCCACUCCCCCUCAGUGCAGCUCUUCUUCCUGUCAACUUCCACACCUCUUCCUUGCUUUUCCCAGCUCCAUUUCUGAGGACCAGUUCUCUCUGCUCAGAGCCCCCAGGGUUCCUCCAGGAGAGUAGAAAUGCUAAAAAACUUCCAGCCCAGAUGAUGUCACCUUUUGGGUUGGAAACUUCAGCCCACACUGCACAGUGGAAAAGCCCCUUGGUUGUGUCUUUUUUUUCUAUCUUGAGGAUAAACUCUUCCCUUUUUGUUUUGAUCUCUUUGGAUGGGAAGAGGCACUCACACGAAGUAUUUUCUUUUUCUUCCAAGAGGAAGAUUAAUGUCUCCCAUAGGCCAAGUGACAGGUAACAUAUUAUCUCGUUCCCAUGCUCUUUCCUGUAAACACACGUAAUCUUUACUGUAACUACAUUUUCAAACUGGUCCUCAAUGUGUGUGGAUUUUCUCUGCUUAGAUUUGGCAGCCUGAGUUAAACACAUUAUAUGCUGCUCACCCAUGUCCAAAGUAUGAUUGAAACUUUUUUUUUUUCAGUACUAUUGAAACUUUACCUGUUGCUUUCAAGGUCACUUUAAAUACAGCUCUUUCCUCCUUCAGGUCAAGAAUUUUGCAGCAUCCUCAAGUGAGGGAAAUCACUGGCCAAAUUCCUUUGAUUGGAUAAUGCAGCUGUUCUCAAACUUUGCCAUCUAUCAGAAUCACCUGGAAACUAAUAAAAAUACAGAAACCCAGGCUUGUUGAAGUCGCAUAGGGCCUGGAUCUCUGUCUUUGCUGUGUUUUCCGGGUAAGAAUAAUGGAGUUGGAGCACUGGCUGGCAAACUUGGCUACUCAUUGGAAUCACUCGGGAGUUAAAAAAAAUUACCGAUGGCUGGGUACUCUCAGCGAUUUUAAUUCAGUUAGUAUGGGGUGCAGCCUGCAUGUUACAAUUUUUAUAUCUUCUGUUUCUUUGCUGAGACUUUGUGUUUUUCUCAUUUGUUUCAAGCAUAUUUGUAAUUGCUUGUUGAAGUAUUUUUAUGAAGGCUGCUUUAAAAUCCUUGUCGGAUGAUUCUAAUUUAUCUGUCAUCUUGGUGUUGACAUCGGUUGAUUGUCUUUUCUCAUUCAUGUGGAGACUUUCCUGGUUCCUGGAAUGAUGACUGGGUUUUGAUUGAAACCUGGAAGUUUUGGGUAUUAUGAGAUUCUGGAUCUUAAUUAAAUUUUCUGUUUUAGGAAGACUCCUCUGCCAGUGCGCUGGUUGGGGAAGGAGAGUGCUACCUCGUGACUGUUGGGUGGUGGGUGGAAGUCCAGGUUAUUUACGGCCUCAGCUGAUACCCCUCUGGGAUGCGGCAGGAGUGCCUCAUUACUAUUCCUCCGUAGCUUCCACUGAUGCUCUGACUUAUCAUUGCUGGGUGAUGGUGAAAGUUCCAGCUUGGCACUAGGCCUCCUCUUGACACCCCAGCAAGGAGGGGAGGAGGCCUUUUCCUCUCCCAGGUUGGGUGGACAUCCCAGUGUCCUGGCUUCCCAUUCAGCCUUCUGUGACACCACCUGGAUGAAGGUAAGGUUGGAACAUCUCUUUUCAACCGGCUGAGAGCAGAAGUCUAGUUUCCUGACUUGGCCAAUAGGGGUGAGGUUUGGGGGCAUGGCUUUUUUCUGCGAUGUUUGGCUGGAGUAGAGCUGUUAUGGUCUAAAAGUUUUCUGUCGUGUGAGGCUGCCUCUUUCUUAGUCCUUUGGCUAGAGAAGGCAGGCUUUCCUUGGACAUUUUUUUGUCUGUGUCUCUUGGUGUUUCUGGGUCUCUGGCUUCUCCAGAAACCAGUCUGGGAUCUGUGAGAAAAAAAGAAAACCUAGGGAACACAGCUCCAUGUCGUUCCUGGCUGGUCUGCCUUCUUCUCUCCGUCUUUCUGAGUCUUCUUAUGCUUGUUUUCUGGAUAAUGCCUGGAGUUUUUUUGUUAGGAGGAACAGGGAAAAGUAUGUCUACUCUGUCUUUCUGGAAAUGGGAGUUCCCUGGAGAUUGGGAGUUUUAAAAGCUCCCCAGGUGAUUCAAAUCAAAUCAAGGUGCAGAAUAUGAGAAUCUCAGGGUUGGAGCACUGGAGCAGGCAAAGGUGGUUCUGGUGGAAGGACCAAGAGGACCUGGAAUCUUCCCCAAGUGGUGGUCUUUAUGAAAGAUUAUGUACGCCUUCAUAAAUUCUUAUCACUUAGUCACUUUCCUUCCAUAGACUUAGAUUUUUUUUUCUGUAUGUCCCUGAGUCUGACUUGUGUUCCCUGAGUAUACAUUCUUAAAUGCAGGUGUAAAAAUAGUCUAAUUGUAGAGGAAGUAUUUAGUGUGCUCCUACUGUGUUUAGGGCACGGUGCUUGGUGUUAAAGUUCAGAGAGAGAUGAGACAAGAUGGUGACUUGAAGGAGAUCACUGUAGCUGGGAGAUACUGAUAUGUGGAAAGAUAAAUACAAUGAUAGUAUUAUGUAUUGAGCACACGUGUGCUGGGUAUUCUCCUAGGUGUUUUAUAAAUUUUCAUUUAAUUCUUCCAACUACGCUGCAUGAUAGAUGUUAUUUUCUCCCUUUCAUCAUUGUGAUUUCAAAGGCUCAGUAUUAAGUGCCUUGUCCAAGGUCACUCCAUAUCCAAUUCAGGACAAAAUUGGACCUCGACUUCGGCGCUGGAAUGAGGCCUUGCUUUUUCCACCUGGACGUGUCCCACUAAGCUUUCUUCAUGAGUGUGUCAUGGGGGUGCUGCUGAGCUCAUCCAUUUAUAUUUCUCCCUGGACCCAGGACAAUUUUGGAGGCAGCUGUUAUUAGUGGCUUAGUCUGUGACUUUGGAAUGGACCUUGUAGGGACUUGAAAUGAUUCUUGAGACUUAAAAAUAUCACUGUAGUAAUUCUGUGGAGAGUGGGGUGGGGGGCAAUAAUAGACCUGGAGAGACUGUUCGGGAAGCUCAUCCUGUACUUCAGGCAAGGGAGGUUAGUCGCUGGAAUUAGGGCCCGUCUUCCACUCUGGAAGUUGCAAGAGGUAUAAGGCAUCUUUUAGUUUGGAAUGAGCACAUGUGUAAGUAAAGAAGGGAAGUGAGGUAAGCGAAAUGGAGGAAAAGUGUGGUCUUGUGAUGUGAGUGGGGGAGAGGAGGGUUUAUAUGUAGGCUUUUAGUAUUUUUUUUUAAGGGGGAAGGAGAUAAGAGAACUAUAGAUAAUGAAGAAAUGACAGAGAGGUAGGACGACCCGUACCCCAGGAGGCUUUAAAUACCAGGCUCAAGAGACAUGGCUUCAUCUUGCCAAUAGUGGGGAACAAAAAUGCGUGUUCCUAGGGGAUGAUAUAAAUAUAUAUAUUUACAUAAUGUAUAUAUGUGUCUACUCACACACACACAGAGUCGUGUAUUAGGAAGAGGAAAUGGAUAAGAGCUGCUGUAAAAAUAGAAAAGAGCGCUGAGGACUAGUGCUGAAGUCCAGGUGUGAGGACCUGAACCAGGACGACGAUGGCGGGUGUGGAAAUGAAGGGAUGGAUGUAAGAGAAAUUACAAAGACUCGAUACAGCAAUCUGUCUUGUGUUCUUAGGGCCAGGCUGCAUUUGGGAAGGAGAAUCAGAAAUUGAAAGCAUCAGAAUGAAAUAGCCUUUACUUCCAAGGAGCUUGUGUCUUAGUGAGUCAUCGCAUCUCAUGUGACAAAGCUUUAAACACCGCCUGUUCGACGGACACUCUAACAUGUCAACUGCCUGAGCUUGAAAGCUAGUUUAACUUGCCUCAUCUCUGUGUCUGGUCCUAAGCUGUUCAUCAUGGGUUGGGCCCUUAGCUACACUAUGUCCUAAGUCCUAUGUGAAAUUUUGCCUUUUUAGAGCAGCCCUGAUACCUUAUACUAACUCAGAGUUUAGGAAGCAUAUUAUUAGGCUGUCGAUUUUUGGCAGUUUUAAGGUCUGUUUGUCUAAAAUGAUGAGAAUGAAACUGUGUCCAUAUGAGCCCCUCUGUGAAAUGAGAAAAGGGCUGAGUGGGAUGCUGGUAAAGGUUAUGAAAACAUAGACCCUAGAUAAUUGGCAGUCUCAGCAAGCUAGGAUUAGGAGGUCCCUUUCUCCCUCCCAACCUCUUCUUGGAAAUGGAAGUUGCUGAAAUAUGAAAACUUGAGGCAGGGAUUCUAUCAGUGGUGACAAAUCCAUAAUGGGUUUCCGAGGCUAAUUAGAUUGUUUGGGAUAUUAGCAACUUCCUUCGUGUCCUUAGGCUUUCUGUCAAUGCUUACUGCCUAUAUUGUGAUCACUUCUGUCUUCUACAACCCACCCCCAACCCCAGGUGGUACCCUCUGGCUUUUGAGAUCCUGAAACAACACCGCGUCUGAUUGACUUUUGAAUUUCCAGGACAUAGCAUAGUGCCUGACACAUUAUAGGUGCGCCGUUGACCUUGAAUGAAUAAGUGAAUGAAGGAAGUUGAUGUCACUGAGUAUACACUGCUUCUCUACUCAUUACAUUUACCUGGGGGCCUUUGCUAGGAGUGGGAUCCCUUUUCUGCUUCUCUUGCCCAGCCCAAUUGUCAUCCAAGUCGUGUUGGUUGUAUUUCACAAAACUGUUUUGUGGAGAGAAUGUGAUGUUUAAUGACUUUGCCCUCCUAGCCAUUCCCUUGGCAAGAUGAUCAAGAUUUUUAUAGUGUGGGUCUCAUUUUUCUUCUACUGAAGGUGAGCUAGCCUGUGGCCUGAAGCUGGCUUUGUAGUUGUGCGAUUCACCUAUGGUGAAUAUGUCAACGUCAUACUCAUUUGAUGAGGCUUAGCUCAUCAAAUACUAGUUUCUGCCCCUGUCUUCCAACUUUCUCGGGGUUCUUCUUCCUUCAAUUGCUGUAGCAUCAUUUGGUUUGUAAUCUUAGCAUUAACUGUGUACUUGUUUUAGCAUAGGCCCCAUAACAGGUGGUUGAACUGUCUUUUUUGCAGUGCUGGCAGAGGGCCUAGCCAUAGUAGCUGCUCAGUAAGCACGUGUGGGGUUCAUGGAAUUCAGCAAGGGUUUGGUUUGUGAGGGUGAGGCUGACAUUCUCAGUGUCCUGUGAAUGUCAGGUGCCUCAUGACAGUGAUGCCUUUUAGUGAUUCCUUAUUUCCUCUUUCCAGCAGUAGCUUGCAGUUGUUUUUCAUUAAAAAUAUGUCUGAAGCACACACUUGAGGCUGCUGACUCACCUCUUCUACAGGAGAAGCCUUGAUGCAUUGGAUCUGCCAUGUGGGAGAUGCAGUCACUCCUCUCACCUCCCCACGGCAGUGUACUCUUUUCUUCAUGAUGGUCUGUUUACUCAUCACUCAGCAGGGAGGCCCAGGUCUGAGAGACUAGAAUGUGGCAUGGAAGAGUUCUGACUGGUUGCAGGGCCAGUCCUACACUGGAUCAACAGCCUUGAACAAGUCACUUUCAUCUCUUUGUCCUUCAGUCCCCUCAUCUGUAAAAUAAGGGGGUUGACUUAGAACCUGUAUCUUAGAGGAUCUCUGAGGUCCCUUCCAGCUCCAACACUCUAAUUGUACUUUAGUUGUAGUCUUCUCAUGUCUUCUGCAGACCAUGCCCCUUUCCCCAGUGAAGUCACAUUCCAAUUACUUAAUGCCCACAUCCUGGUUGACAGAUCAGUUAGAGCAAACAGCGAAACGCAGCAAGACUGCACGUGGCGCUCACCAUGCUCCGGGCUGUGGAAGGUGCCCUCUCCCUUGGAGGCGUGGGAGGAGCGGCCUUGUGCUCUUUCUUCCCUUAGCUGUUCAUCGACAUGUUGCUCAAGUGGAACCCAUGUAAACAGAACUUAUUCAUUACUUGUCUCUGUUCUCAAAUAUUUACACCUUUUGCUGCUGUGAAAAAAAUCUUUAAUCUUAGUUACAAUUUUCCCUAUUGCAGCCGAAAGAGGAGAGUUUCGAAAAGCAGUAGAACCCUAUAGGGUCACAUUCUGCAGAAAGGCACAGGAGAAAACAAAAUGCGCUGCAAUCUUGGUUUUGUAGAAAUUCAAGCGGGAAGAGGCCUCCGUGUGCUUGACAGCGCCAGGGGUGUCCAGCAGGCUAGGGCUUUGCCUUAAGGGGCGGCAUUUGUUGCCCACUGUUAAGGGUUAACCCUUAGCCUUGCUGCCGCAGAAACCUAGUUUUCUAUGGCGACAGUGCUUUGCAACCCAGCUGUACCUUAGGAUCGCCUGGAUAACUUACAGAAUGUAGAUGCCCACUACCCCUAGGGAUUAUUUCACAUGUCUGGGCUGGGGUCCCACCAUCAUGGUAAUUUUAAAAGCUCCCAGGUUAUUGUCGUGUGCAGCCAGGAGAACUGACAUACACUUACAAUAGGGACAUUUAUGAGCAGCUCUGGGAUAUUCAGAUGGACAAACCUGAUUUUAGGCCAGAAUGCCUUUUUAUGGAUUUAAAAUGAGAUAUGUAAUUGAAUGAGUGACUGGAUGUACUUGUGGAUGCGAACCCAGCAUUUACCUCCGGGCGAGUAAGAGAGUUGGUUUUGGAGCAGCGUAGAUCUGCACCCGAAGGUUGGCUGGGUGUGUUGAAUGGCAGCAGGCCAAGAGGGUUUGAGGUGUUUACCCACAUGAUGGUGAUGGUUUCCCCAGUGAGGCCAGAAUGUUGAAAGUCUGCAGGUCAGACUGUCCCCCGCCUACAAAAUAUCUGGCUGGACACAGCCAGCGCUUGCCUUUCUAUGUCAUGCGUGACCGUGUCCAGGGCUGAACAAUGUCUCCUUCCCCUUCCUGUGGUUCCUUCUUUCUGUGCCUUUAUGCGUGCACACAUUCUGGUACCUGGAGUGUGUUUUGGGCCUGGGAGAUUUUCUCUCUUCCUCCUCUUCUUGCCUGCUCUCUCUCUUGCUGCUCUCUCUUGCCCUUCUCCUCUCUCCUACUCCUCAGAUAUUUUCCGCCUCAGACCUGAAUCAGCCAUUUCUCCAGAAAGACAUGGUAUCUUUUAAUGCAAAAUGGUGUUUCUAGACCACCAUCUGGGCACUUGGGAUGCUAGCUUUAUUGGGUUGACCGUUGUUUCUAGACCUUUUUCAGUAGACAGAGCUGAGAAAACUACAUAUAAAGAGGGACUGUGAGAAUGAAUGUGGUAGAUUUAAAUGUACUGGUGAAUCCAUACUGAUAUUUCCAACCAGAAUUCACGACUACAAGGGUUUUACUUAACCUCUCCUAUCAUCUGUUCUUUCUUUCACACCAAGACUUCUGGUUUUCAAGUACAUAGGGAAUGACAGAAUUGAAUAUCCCCUAAUUACUCAUUUACUUUAUCUCACACUACACAACUGGCAGUCUCAGAAUAACAACACUAAUACCAGCAUCAAGUAUGAUACUGAAAACAGUCCCAAACUUUCUUUGCAUAUGCUGUCCCUAUCCUCCACCGUUUAAAAAAAAAAAAAAAAGGUUGUACUAGAUGAUUGUGGUAGGCUGAAUAAUGGCCCCUCAAAAGGUAUCGGGUCCUAACCUCUGGAACCUGUGAAUGUUACUUUAAAAGGUGAAGACUUUGUAUACGUGAUUAAGUUAAGGAUCUUGAGAUGGGAAGAUUACCCGGGAUUAUCUGAGUGGGCCCUAAAUGCCAUGACAAGUGUCCUUAUAAAAGGGAGGUUACACGCAGAAGAGGAAAAGACAGCGUGAUGGAGGUGGAGAUUGGAAUGAUGCAGCCACAAGCCAAGGAAUGCUGGCAGCCACCAGAAGCUGGAAGAGGCAAGGGAUAGAUUCUCUCCUAGAGCUUUCCAAGGGAGGGCAGCCUGCUCGCACUUUGAUUUCUGUCUACUGAAACUCAUUUUGCACUUCUGGCUUCCAGAACUGUGAGAGAAUAAAUUCCUGUUAUUUUAAGCCACCAACUUUGUGGUAAUUUGUUAUCACAGCCUUGGGAAACUAAUAUAGUCAUGUGGCCAUUACGUAUAAUAAUCUCCGUUAGUUCCUCAAUAACUACAUAUUUAAUACUGACUAAUACUUAUAUGCAUGUCUCGAGUCAUUUUGGUCAUCUCACGUUCAUUGUCUGGUAUCUUUAGGAAGGGCUCAUGGGAACAUUAUUCCCUGAUUUUUUUUUUCGCAUGUUGGCAACCUUUUGUCAAAACCACUGGAUACAGAAUCCUUCACAUUUUCUUUAUCUUAAAUGUUAUUACUCCAUCUCUUUGUGGCAUGAAGCUUGUUGUAAGUCUGAUGAUAAUCUAAUUUUUUCCCUUAUAAUUUGUGUAUUGUUUUUCUUAGAUGCCCAAAUGAUCUUUUUCUUUCAAGUCCAGUAAUUUUCCUAGAGUAUAUCUUGAUAUCCAUCUGACUCAGUAUUCUCAGGUACACAAUAUGCUCUUUCAACAUGAGGUUUCAGAUAUUUUCUUCUUUGGGAAAGUUUCCAUGAAUUGUUUUCUCUGUCUCCCAACUUUAUCUUCUAAUGCCAUGUAGUACCCACAGGCCCCAUCUCUAAGUCACUAUCAGUCUGCCACUAAGAACUCGAAUAAGUCUUGAUGCCACAGCUCCUAGAAUUUUUACCGAAGCCUGCAGUGAGCUAUGAAAAAAGAAAGUUAGGUCAGACUCACGUUCACGACAUAAAACCCCUGCAGAAUCCCAUGGUGGAGCCUCAACUGGACUUAAGGAAAGCUGCUUCACACCCCUUCCUUAGGUCCCCCUUACAGCAAACAGCCCAUGUUCCCAGAAGCACUGAGAGCAGCAGCAGAUGACCUGUAGCUGCCUCCCUAAUGCAGGAUUUAGAGCUGGAAUGGACAGCGACACCUGGCUCAUCCCCACCCACACCUGGACAGCUGGAGCAGUUUGGAAGGGACCAUAACAAGACAGAAGUCAAGGCUCAAUCCUAAACCAGCUGUGUGAUCUUGAAUAAAUCACCAAACUCAUUCAAGCGUGGGUGUCAACUAAAUCCAAAAAAAGGAAGAGACGGCCUCGAAAUGUCCAAGAAUCUGCCACGCGUCCACAUCCACCUCCCGGCCAGGUUCAGGACAAGCCCAGGACACACCUACAGACUCAGCUCAGAUGCUCAGCGGAUGUUUAUUAAACCAUCCAUCCAUCAACAAGACUGUGUUGAUGGUUAGCCCUAACAAGCAUGAUUAGGGUCUGGUUCUCUAAUUCUGUUUGACGGGUUUUGUGGGCUCCAGGGGAAGAAUGAAGCACGCAAAAGUUUACCAAGGCUGACUCAACACACUCCACCAAAACCUAAAUGAGACCAGAGUCUGCAAAACAAGCAAAUAUCACCCUGCCGGCCAACCCAUCUGCUGUCCCAGUGGAAGAUUAGAGUCAGCGGAACUACGAGGACGGGGAAGAAGGAGCAGAACCAAUCCAUGUUUAUGAUGCCAUCAGGGCCACCCCAUCAGACAGCCAAGUCUGCCUUCAGGGUGAGGCAAGAGUAGGCCAAGGCCUUCCUCCCCUCCUGCGGGGUAACAACUCAGUCCCACCCAUCAGCUGAGAGCCAAGCUACGUACUCUGCCAUUGGCACAGGUCUCUCCUACGAUACGUACACUGAUAUAACUCGCUUUGAGGAAGGUCAGGAAGGUCAUGGAUGAGCACUUUACACCUACCGAGGCCUUAAUCAGUCAGAGAAUAACUGGGCUGCCAGAGGAAUCUUAGAGUACAUCUUCUGGGUCACACUUAGGAGAAACACAAGUCCCAGAGGACAAAAAACUACACUGUGGGCCCCGUUCAUAUUGCAUAACUCUGUAGGGCUGCUUAAUGUUUUUCAGAAGUGUCCACAGUAUGUGCUCCACUAAUCUGUACAUAGCCUGAGGGAGAGAUUAAAUGCCUAAUACACACCUAAAGCCCUCACCACCAAAAACACUGCCUGCACGUGAAAAAGUCCCCUUUGCACAUCUGUUCCUGGAUAAUUCUGAAAGUCCACAGGAUAUACCAAGCUUGCAGGAUACCACAGUACAUCACAUAACCCUUGCACCCAACAGGGUCUUGUUCAAGGCUGCAGCCCUAAAACCUCGCAUGGGACCUGACGUGCCACAGAACUCAGUAAAUGACCUACUGAUUGCAAUAAUGAAAUUAUCUUUGAAGAAAACAUAGGCAGUACAGUCUUUGACAUCAGUAUUAAAAGGAUCUUUUCGGACACCAUGCCUUCUCAGAGAAGGGAAACAAUAGAAAGAAUAAACAAAUGGGACUUCAUCAGAUUAAAGAGCUUCUUCAAGGCAAAUGAAAACAGGAUUGAAACAAAAAAACAACCCACUAACUGGGAAAAAAUAUUUGCAAGUCAUAUAUCUGACAAAGGCUUAAUAUCCUUAAUAUAUAAAGAACUCUCGCAACUCAACCACAAAACAUCAAACAACCCAAUCAAAAAAUGGGCUGGAGACAUGAACAGACAUUUCUCCAAAGAAGAUAUACUGAUGGCCAAUAGGCACAUGAAAAGAUGCUCAUCAUCGCUGAUCAUCAGGGAAAUGCAAAUCAAAACUACACUAAGAUAUCACCUGACACCCGUUAGAAUGACAAAAGUAUCUAAAACUAAUAGCAACAAAUGUUGGAGAGGUUGCGGAGAAAAAGGAACCCUCAUACACUGCUGGUGGGAAUGCAAACUGGUGCAGCCACUAUGGAAAACAGUAUGGAGAUUCCUCAAAAAACUAAAAAUAGAACUACCAUAAGAUCCAGCCAUCCCACUACUGGGUAUUUAUCCAAAGAGCCUGAAGUCAGCAAUCCCAAAAGUCCUGUGCACCCCAAUGUUUAUUGCAGCACUGUUUACAAUAGCCAAGACGUGGAAGCAACCUAAGUGCCCAUCAACAGACGAAUGGAUAAAGAAGAUGUGGUACAGGGGCCGGCCCGGUGGCACAGCGGUUAAGUUCGCACGUUCCGCUUCUCGGCGGCCCGGGGUUCGCUGGUUCGGAUCCCGGGUGCGGACAUGGCACUGCUUGGCAGCCAUGCUGUGGUAGGCGUCCCACGUAUAAACUAGAGGAAGAUGGGCACGGAUGUUAGCUCAGAGCCAGGCUUCCUCAGCAAAAAGAGGAGGACUGGCAGUAGUUAGCUGAGGGCUAAUCUUUCUCCAAAAACAAAAACAAACAAACACAAAAACAAACAAACAAAAAAAACACCACACAAAAAAAAGAUGUGGUACAUAUAUACAAUGGAAUACUACUCAGCUGCAAAACAGAACAAAAUCAUUUCAUUUGCAAUAACAUGGAUGGACCUUGAGAGGAUUAUGUUAAGUGAAAUAAGCCAGCGAGAGAAAGAUAAUCUGUGUAUGACUCCACUCAUAUGAGGAAUUUAAAACUAUGGAUCAAGAACAGUUUAGUGGAUACCAGGGGAAAGGUGGGGUGGGGGGUGGGCACAAAGGGUGAAGUGGUGCACCUACAACAUGACUGACAAACAUUAAUGUACAAUUGAAAUUUCACAAGAUUGUAACCUAUCAAUAACUCAAUAAAAAAAAAAGAAAUUAAAGCUGAGAAAGGUGAAAUGACUUGCCCAAAAUCUUAGCAAACAGUUCACGUCAAGGCUGGUACUAAAAAAGGUCUCCAAACACCAGGGUCCUCCAUCUUGCUGUGGCACAAAUAACCAAACUCUCAGGAGCCCUGUUUACAGGUGGGUUAAUGGUCUAAAAAGGUCCCUACAGAACUUGACACACAGGACAAAAGAUGAUUUAACCUUCUAGGACUACCUCAUGACUGAAUUCAGGCUAAACCUUGUCAGCAAGAGCACUGCAUAGUUAGUGCUGUCUGCUCCUUGCACAGCCCAGCUGGUGGCACAGAACGCCCGGUCUGUCAUGUUGUCUUCUGCCAGUUGCUCCUGAUUCCGCUGAUGUGCAGGAUGGGAACUGAGAGCAGCAAGGGUUAAGGUCUCUCAUAACCGUGUGUGGGUCUCCUCACUGACUUAGCGCAGUUGGAGGCCGAAGGGCUGGGAUUUCUCCCGUCCAACCAGCCUUUGCAGUAAAAACCUUGGGGAGUGCUUUGUGGUUGUGAUGUUGAUCUUCAGCAUAGGAUCCCGUCACUGCUGUGUUUGGGUUUUACAUUGAUUUGCUGUUUUAGAAUUUUUUCAUCAAGUGAAAAUGGUACUUUUUGUGAAGUGGUUUCUUUCAAAUCAGUAAUAUCUUUCCUUAGUUCCAGAGAUCUUGGUAUCUGAGAGACAGAAAGAGAAAAUAAAAAUGAAAUGUGAAAAUGGACAGACAGCUGCCAAGUGAACCCUGCCUGGCUCUGGCACCACUGUCAACUCCCAGAAAUCUGGAAGCUGCAAGGUCUGCCUCUCUCCCUACUGGGGCAUGAUGCGGACUUUGGUCACGAACGACUGUCUUGGCCAGGAAUUAGCUGCCACCGUGGAAACGGCAACCGGGCAGAGGCAGACAUGUGUCCUCCGCUGGGUGACAGAAAAAAGAGAGAACGGGAGAGUGCACGCCAUCCGCCGACAGAUGAGCACACCUCCGGCAUCUGACUGCACGUGACCACACUGGAGAAAGAUCACGGAAUUGGCCCAUCUGAGGACCACGGUGAGAAACACAGAGCACUCUGGGAAAGGGACACUUGGCGGUUGCGUGCAUGGGGGAAACGGGGAUAGUCAGUGCUCGCUGAAUUCCCUCGAUCGGAGAUGCCCAGAUGGCCCCUUCCAAUGGAGUCCCGGGAUUCUUCCGAGUUACCUGCAACACAGGCUGUCUUGGAUGCCCCCGUCGUCCUCCGGAUCGGUGUGUUGGCCUGGAAAGAAAUUCGCACGGGGCCAGUCACACUAAGCAGAUCCCCACUCGACCCUUGGGAAUCCAGUGUCCAGUCCCAGCCCAGGGACCUCCACAUCCUCAGUGUGACAACGGCAGACGGGAAGAGCAAUCUGCCAGGAGACCUCAGGCGGUGUCUCGUGAAAGCGCCGGCCUGGCUUUGCUGAGCCAGCGGGCCGCGUCUCCCCGAUCGGGGAGGCCCUCAGAGCAGGAUGCUCUCCCGAGUCUGGGAAAACAGCCAAAGAGGCGUGGGGCUCACACCUUCUGGGGCACCAGCCUAAGAGCCUGCUCGGACAAGUGCUGGGCUACUCAGCCUUCUCUGCGCAGGGACACUAGUUCUGGAGGCUCGAGUCUAACUCAUCGCCUGAGGGGAGAAGGCCGGCUGCACUCUACAAACCCUGGCAUCCAGAGGCAUCGUCGCCCCUGCUCCGCAGAAACACUGGCCACCCUGUGGGCCGGGAGAAGGCCAAGGCAUAGUACUGGUACAAAAACAGGUGCACAGAUCAAUGGAACAAAAUUGAAAGCCCAGAAAUAAAACCACACAUCUAUGGACAGCUUAUCUUUGACAAAGGAGCUGAGGGCAUACAAUGGAGAAAAGAAAGUCUUUUCAACAAAUGAUGCUGGGAAUACUGGAAAGCCACAUGAAAACAAUGAAAAUUGACCAUUCU
rnacentral:lncRNA from 1 species